UACGUAGGGUGCAAGCGUUAAUCGGAAUUACUGGGCGUAAAGCGUGCGCAGGCGGUUGUACAAGACAGAUGUGAAAUCCCCGGGCUUAACCUGGGAACUGCAUUUGUGACUGUACGGCUAGAGUGUGUCAGAGGGGGGUAGAAUUCCACGUGUAGCAGUGAAAUGCGUAGAUAUGUGGAGGAAUACCGAUGGCGAAGGCAGCCCCCUGGGAUAACACUGACGCUCAUGCACGAAAGCGUGGGGAGCAAACAGG
rnacentral:rRNA from 1 species